GACGAACGCUGGCGGCGUGCUUAACACAUGCAAGUCGAACGGAAACGCCCGGCUUUUGUGGGGAGCUCUAGUUGCGAACGGGUAAGUUACCCGUGAGUUACCUGCCCCUGACCUUGGGAUAACUUCAGGCAACUGGGGCUAAUACCGGCUAGGAGCUCCUGCUGCAUGAUGGGGGUGGGAUAGUUUCGGCGGUUGGGGAUGGACUCGCGUCGCAUCAGCUUGUUGGUGUGGUAGUGUCUUACCAAGGCUAUGCCCGGUAGCAGUGCUGAGCGGGUGAGCGGCCACGCUGGGAUUGGAAUACGGCCCAGACUCCUCCGGGAGGCAGCAGUGGGGAAGAGUGCACUAUGGGCUGAAGGCUGAUGCAGUCACGCCGCGUGGGGGAUGAGGGGCAUCGGGUUGUAAUGCGCUUUCGCCUGUGACGAAGCGUGAGUGACGGUAAUGGGUAAAGAAGCACCGGCUAACUACGUG
rnacentral:rRNA from 1 species